UGGGAAUUCUGGGAAUUUUUGGGAAUUUUUGGGGAUUUUUGGGGAUUUUUUGGGAAUUUUUGGGAUUCUUUGGGAAUUUUUUGGGAUUUUUUAGGAGAUUUUUUGGGGUUUUUUUGGGAUUUUUUGGGAUUUUUUUGGGGAUUUGGGGGGAAUUGUUUUGGGAUUUUGGGGGAUUUUUUGGGGGAAUUUUGGGAAUUCUGAUGACGUUUGGGAAUUCCAGGGAUUUUGGGGAUUUUUGGGGAAUUUUUGGGGGGAUUUUUGGGAAUUUUGGGGGAUUUUUUUGGGGAAUUUUUGGGGAAUUUUUGGGAAUUUUUGGGGAAUUUUUUGGGGAGUUUUUGGGGGAUUUGGGGGAAUUUUGGGGGAUUUUUUGGAGUUUUAGGGGAUUUUCAGGGAAUUUUGGGGAAUUCUGGGAAUUUUUGGGGAGAUUGGGGUUGGAAAUUUGGGAAUUUUGGGAGCUGGGUGUCUGAAAAUUCAGGAAUUUGGGGAAUUUUGGGGGAAAAUUUGAGAAUUUGGGGGGGAAAUUUCGGGAAUUUGGGAAUCCAGGGGUGAAAAUUCCCA
rnacentral:lncRNA from 1 species